GUAGGGCGGGACACGUGGUAUCCUGUCUGAAUAUGGGGGGACCAUCCUCCAAGGCUAAAUACUCCUGACUGACCGAUAGUGAACCAGUACCGUGAGGGAAAGGCGAAAAGAACCCCGGCGAGGGGAGUGAAAAAGAACCUGAAACCGUGUACGUACAAGCAGUGGGAGCACAGAGCAAUCUGUGUGACUGCGUACCUUUUGUAUAAUGGGUCAGCGACUUAUAUUCUGUAGCAAGGUUAACCGAAUAGGGGAGCCGAAGGGAAACCGAGUCUUAACUGGGCGUUAAGUUGCAGGGUAUAGACCCGAAACCCGGUGAUCUAGCCAUGGGCAGGUUGAAGGUUGGGUAACACUAACUGGAGGACCGAACCGACUAAUGUUGAAAAAUUAGCGGAUGACUUGUGGCUGGGGGUGAAAGGCCAAUCAAACCGGGAGAUAGCUGGUUCUCCCCGAAAGCUAUUUAGGUAGCGCCUCGUGAAUUCAUCUCCGGGGGUAGAGCACUGUUUCGGCAAGGGGGUCAUCCCGACUUACCAACCCGAUGCAAACUGCGAAUACCGGAGAAUGUUAUCACGGGAGACACACGGCGGGUGCUAACGUCCGUCGUGAAGAGGGAAACAACCCAGACCGCCAGCUAAGGUCCCAAAGUCAUGGUUAAGUGGGAAACGAUGUGGGAAGGCCCAGACAGCCAGGAUGUUGGCUUAGAAGCAGCCAUCAUUUAAAGAAAGCGUAAUAGCUCACUGGUCGAGUCGGCCUGCGCGGAAGAUGUAACGGGGCUAAACCAUGCACCGAAGCUGCGGCAGCGACGCUUAUGCGUUGUUGGGUA
rnacentral:rRNA from 1 species